rnacentral:rRNA from 1 species
GACGAACGCUGGCGGCGUGCUUAACACAUGCAAGUCGAGCGGUAAGGCCCCUUCGGGGGUACACGAGCGGCGAACGGGUGAGUAACACGUGGGUGACCUGCCCUCAGCUCUGGGAUAAGCCCGGGAAACUGGGUCUAAUACCGGAUAUGACCUGCUGUUGCAUGACAGCGGGUGGAAAGUUUUUCGGCGGAGGAUGGGCCCGCGGCCUAUCAGCUUGUUGGUGGGGGGAUGGCCUACCAAGGCGACGACGGGUAGCCGGCCUGAGAGGGGGACAGGCAGCACUGGUACUGAGAUACGGCCCAGACUCGUACGGGAGGCAGCAGUGGGGAAUAUUGCGCAAUGGGCGAAAGCCUGACGCAGCGACGCCGCGUGGGGGAUGACGGCCUUCGGGUUGUAAACCUCUUUCGACCGGGACGAAGGGUAACUGACGGUACCGGUAGAAGAAGCACCGGCCAACUACGUGCCAGCAGCCGCAGUAA